CGAGCCGGCCGGACGGCCGCGUCGGGGACCUGGUCCCCGUCGAGGAAAGUCCGGGCUCCACGGGGCAGGGUGGUCGGUAACGCCGACCCGGGGUGACCCGCGGGACAGUGCCACAGAAAGCAGACCGCCACCGGUCCGCCGGUGGUAAGGGUGAAACGGUGAGGUAAGAGCUCACCAGCGCCCACGGUGACGUGGGCGGCUCGGUAAACCCCACCCGGAGCAAGGUCAAGAAGGGGCUUCGGCCCCGCGCAGGUGCCUGAGGGCGGCCCGCCCGAGCCUGCGGGUAGACCGCUGGAGGCCGCCGGCAACGGCGGCCCGAGAUGGAUGGCCGUCACCCGCCGCCCCGCAAGGGACGGCGGGCACAGAACCCGGCUUACAGGCCGACUCGUCCG
rnacentral:RNase_P_RNA from 1 species